rnacentral:rRNA from 1 species
UACGUAGGGUGCGAGCGUUAAUCGGAAUUACUGGGCGUAAAGCGUGCGCAGGCGGGCUUUUAAGCCAGACGUGAAAUCCCCGGGCUCAACCUGGGAAUGGCGUUUGGGACUGGAAGUCUGGAGUGCGGCAGAGGAGACUGGAAUUCCUGGUGUAGCAGUGAAAUGCGUAGAUAUCAGGAGGAACACCGGUGGCGAAGGCGGCUACCUGGACAGAAACUGACGCUGAGGCGCGAAAGCUAGGGGAGCAAACAGG